rnacentral:misc_RNA from 1 species
GAUCCGAUUCUUACACUGAACAUCGGUACGAUGGGUUUUCUUGGUAAGACCAUGGAGAGAGUUAACAGAAUCGGCAACGUCCUGCCAGUCUUUCUGACGGAGAUUGCCACGAUUAAGCUCGAGAAAACGGCGACCCCAAGCGUCGAUGAGAGUGGAGGUAGCGUCCUCGCUCCAACAAUCCUCACGAAUGGGAACUUGGCGAGAGUUUGCAGAGGAAGGGGUGAGAGAAUCGGUGAGAUCCCCCAUGAGAAAUCAGAAGAAGAGGGGGAAAGGAGAAGAAGGGGGGAAUAGUGAAUAGAAAGAGAAGAAAAAAGAGGGAGCGUCGGCGAUGAGGAACGAGUGAAGCGGUCGACGCGAUAUCGCCGGGGAUGGAAAAGGGAUAAGGGAUAGGGAACCGAAAAGGAAGCGGGCCGGGACCGGAAGGAGGGGGUUGGGUCAUGGUUUGGUUAGCGUGUCGGAAGGGCUCGGAUUCGGCUACGGCCCAAAAGAAAGAGGG